CUCCAAGUCAAUCCCAGUCCUCAGUUGCCUGAGAGUAGAACUGUAUUUGAGAUAUGGAAAUGCCUAUCUUAUAUAUAAAAAGCAUUGUUGUUACCUGGCUGAGCUCCAGUUCCGCUUCCUUGGUGAUUGGGACCAUCCUCCACAUCCUGUGUGGACUGGGGCUCUUCCUCCUGUUCCUUCCCUCCCUCCAGAGGAAUUUGCCCUUACAACCACCUUACAAAAGGAGAAACGUCAGGAAGCGUCAAAUGAAGCUGAGAGGGAGGAGCAGCAGGAGCAGGAAGAAAAAGGGAGCUUUGAAAGGGUGUCAGCAACCUCAUCCUUGCAAUCUUGGAAGACUGGAGAAACAGUACAACAUGAUACUUGCAGAGUUAAGCCUGUACAGAGAACUAGGUGACUAGAAAAGAACAGGCAAGAAGAUUGGCUUAAAUUUCUAAAUGGCAGUGACUUUAAACUUGUCUGUAACAUUUUGCAUAAGGCAGAAGUGUAGAACUGGUGAAGGUGGAUUCUCUUACCAUUAUUUGGAUAAAGUCAUAUUCAAUAUCACCACAGUGAAGAGCUAAUUCUGUACUCAUUAUAAAAAUUUUACCCAGCUUAUGUUUCCAUCUAGUUCCACAGAGGAAAUGAGUAUCUGUUGCAUAAGCCCCUGGGAAAAAAAAAUCUGGAACAAUGACUUUCUCCUGCUAAAGCAAGUUCAUGCUGGAGGUGUCAUACUACAGAGGUUUUUAGUAAGAAUUACUGUUGGUGGAAAAUUCCCCUUAGCCCCUUUUCAAGUGGAAUUUUUUAAAAAAGAAAGCAAGAGACAUUCUCAGUGACAAGCCUGUUCAGAAAGACAAGUAGACAAAUUACUAAUUACAUAAUAAUUAGUGAGUUGAAGUAGGCAUGCCAAAUCAAUUUUUAAGUCAAGGUACAGUGUUGAAAAACUGUAAAUCGCUCGUUGGCUCACCAUGUGGUUUGACUCAAUAACAAGACAAGUUCGAAUUUCUUUUUAACGUUAUAUUAUUUUAAAAAAGUUGCUUUUAAACAGUAAUCCAG
rnacentral:lncRNA from 1 species